UAGCGUCAGGGCAGGGCCACACCCCACCCCGGGGCCACAUAAAACGCGGCUGGUCCCCUCAAAUCCAGCGGCAGAAUUAACAGCAUUGCACUGAGAGAUUGAUGGAGCAGCUUCCUUGGGGAGCCACCCCAGGAAUAACCUCAAGGCAGGCAGGAGAUGCUGAAGGUUCCUACAGCCAAAAAGGCCAAACGAGCCCCUGUUUAAGGCAGAAAUUCUUCUGUGGCCACCUAGACGCGGAUUUGUGGGCCACAAAAAGCAGAUUCCUCUCCUUGGGUUUAUUCGCCCUCUCGGCGGAUGCUAGAAAUGAGGAAUUGAUUCAGGUGGUUUUGUGGCGGAGCUGAUUUUCCGUGCCGGAGGAACCCAGCGGAAAAUGGAGGCUGCGAGCAGCAAUUACGUGCUCGGCGUUGGCAAGGAGGUUUCGCUCCGGAGGGGAAAAACCAACACCCAGAAGUUGUGUUUGCAGAAACAGAGAUCCCAGCUGCACAUCAGUCAGGAGCAUGGAUUAUUAACGAGUUUUUAAUUCCUUGUGGAAGUCAUCAGGGCUGAACCUUCCCAACCACGGCAGCUCUUUAAUGGAUUUGCAGCAGCCCAGGGUAUAAUUUCUCUCAGCCUCAAGCCAGGAGCUGCAUCGAGCUCCUCAGGAGCUUUGGCCUUUCUUCAUCCACGGUGGAAAUAACGCCCCAGGCCCUGUGCCAGCUCAGAAAUCAUUAAUGCGGGUGUUCUCUUGCCUGUGUUCAGGCCUGGAACCACUGUGCCUGAAGAAUAUUUUUGUGGCAUCGAUAAUCCAAGGAGUUUUGAUGUUAAAAACAGGAAAACAAGAGCAAAACCUCUGGGAUUUGGUUUCUCACAAAGCUGAGUUCAGGAGCCAGCAGGGAAUCAAUCCAUGCCUCAAAAAAAAAAAAA